rnacentral:lncRNA from 1 species
GCAAUCCUCUUCAAUACCACUGAUAUUUGGGUGAUGAAAACCCAAAGUUGAGGAAGAAAUUUCAGCUCUAAAGCUGAAGUUUUAAUAGGUGGGUUAAAGUUUUUUAGUUACAACACAAAAACUUCAGUUCGAGUUGAAGUUUUUGUAUUGUAAUUGGAAAUUUUAGCUCCGGUAUAUAAUAUUAAUAGGUGGGCUGAAGUUUCCCAAUUACAACAGAAAAACUUCAGCUCUAAGAUGUAAUAUUAAUAGGUGGUAAGAAAACUGCAGCACUAAGUUACAACACAAAAAUUUCAGCUCUAAAGCUGAACUUCAAGCCCGACUACUAGAAUGCUGAAAUUUUGCGUGAUUGCCUUUGCUACUUCAGCCCUGUAUGCUGAAGUUAUGCGAAAAAGCGGGUACGCUUGCAACUUUUUUUACAAAGCG